UACGUAGGGUCCGAGCGUUGUCCGGAAUUAUUGGGCGUAAAGAGCUUGUAGGUGGCUCGUUGCGUCGGGAGUGAAAACCUGCGGCUUAACCGCAGGCCUGCUUCCGAUACGGGCGAGCUAGAGUUCGGCAGGGGAGACUGGAAUUCCAGGUGUAGCGGUGAAAUGCGUAGAUAUCUGGAGGAACACCGGUGGCGAAGGCGGCAUCCUGGACCGACAUUGACGCUGAGGCGCGAAAGCCAGGGGAGCAAACGGG
rnacentral:rRNA from 1 species